UUAUGGUCAAUGUAAGUAUCGUAGUCGUGAGUUUUUAAUAAAUAUACUAUUGUGGACACUAAUCUCUGGAACUGAGAAACCGGACGAACAUCGAAUCCUUUUCACCAUGAGGAGCAAAGCGCAUGAGGCGUUUGAAGAGGAAGAGAAGAAAGAUGAGACAAAGAUAUAAGUGAUUACUGAGCUGAAAAAACUUGGCCAAUCCGCGAUUCUUGGCGACGGGGACUGAGUUUUUUCAAGGUUUUCAAUGAUCCAGUCCUUGAGGUUGCAGUUUAGAAACCUGUCUAUCUUCUGGGGGUCGAUCAGAUUUGACUGUGAAGACCCUAUUCUCCGAGGGAAUCCAUCCCAGGGAAUCUUCAAUGUUCUCAUCCACUGGAGGGGGGUGGCUUUCAGCAUAUUAAUGGCUUGAGACUACAGCAACAACAAUCUAGACAGAGGGCCAUUAUGAUCAAUCCAUAUGUCAUGCCAGAAGCUAAUAUGAUUACCAUUUCCAUCAUUCCAACAAAUGUUUUGCUUGAAUUUAGUCCACAAGGAGCAUAUGUGAUUCCAUAAAGGUGAUCCUCCCCUUUUUUGAAGCUCU